UACGGAGGGUGCAAACGUUGCUCGGAAUCAUUGGGCGUAAAGCGCACGUAGGCGGACCGCUAAGUCGGAUGUGAAAGCCCUCGGCUUAACCGAGGAAGUGCAUUCGAAACUGACAGUCUUGAGUAUGGAAGAGGGUCGCGGAAUUCCCGGUGUAGAGGUGAAAUUCGUAGAUAUCGGGAGGAACACCGGUGGCGAAGGCGGGUCUCUGGGCCGAUAUUGACGCUGAGGAGCGAAAGCGUGGGGAGCGAACAGG
rnacentral:rRNA from 1 species